UGGCAUUCUCAUUUUUCUAGGAUUUUCUCUUAGUUUGUUCCUUCUUUUGGGCAGAGGCUGAUGCGUGCUCUGCAGUGUAGUCCCAGACUGAGAACAGCAAUUGAAAGCAUGGGACAACCUUCAGAAGAUGCCGUGGCUCUUGUGUUUUUAGAUAGCUUCAAUGUUGGCAAUGGGUUCUCCCCACAAUGAUAAAUCUGCUCCCUGUUACACUGUGAAGGCUGAUCUGACUGAACAGGGUAGCAGCAGAAACACCCUUGGCGUGGCAUCUCAGUAACCCUUAAGGAAUUUCACGAUAUUCAAGAUGGACAAGAUAAGUCACCAGUGAAGUGUUGACAACCCUGAAAUAUUUGGGGUUAUUAAGUCAAGUCUAGAAAGCACAGGUCGUCGAAAAUAUUUGUAAGCUGAAGAAGCCAAGUGAAACAUAGAACUAUGGGCUAUAUGGCUCUUUUAUAUUCUAAUAUUUUGAAAUGUCUCCCUUCAGUAAUUUUUGUAAACUGUAAAAUUUGACUAAAAAAUAG
rnacentral:lncRNA from 1 species